rnacentral:lncRNA from 1 species
CAUCCGCCUAUGCCCUAGGGCUAGUGGAAGACUUAAGAUGGCGGCGUUUGCACGGAGUGCAAUCACUGCGUCCUUACGGGGGUUGCAAGGCGUCCGAAGUAUGAGUCCACUAACAAAAGUCCAGAAACUCGCCAGUUAAUAGUAUUGUGUCUCUUCAAAAUAUCGGAGAAUAAUUUCUUUCUCGCUGAUCGCCUAACUUCUACUGACGAAGCUUGGAAGUUGCAGAAGAUGGAGUUCGCUCUUGUUGCCCAGGCUGGAAUGCAAUGGCAUGACCUUGGCUCACUGCAACCUCUGCCUCCCCAGUUCAAGUGGUUCUCCUGCCUCAGCCUCCCGAGUAGCUGAGAUUACAGGCUGGAGUGCAGUGGCGCAAUCUCGGCUCUCUGCAACCUUCACCUCCCGUGUUCAAGUGAUUCUCCUGCCUCAGCCUCCUGAAUACCUGAGAUUACAAGCAUGCACCACCACGCCCGUCUAAUUUUGUAUUUUCACUAGAGACGGGGUUUCUCCAUGUUGGUCAGGCUGGUCUCGAACUCCCGACCUCAGGUGAUCCGCCCGCCUCAGCCUCCCAAAGUGCUGGGAUUACAGGCAUGAGCCACCGCGUCCAGCAAGAAUAGGUGAUUUUCAAACUUGGAAACAUUCAGAAGUUAUCGCCUCAGUUUCAGAUUGAGUAGUCUCAAAGAGAUUACAGACAUCUACCACAAAUUCUCUACUUGGUGUGGUGCAAAAUCAGUAUGAUGUAAACUUUGUCUCUCAGUUUCUUCAAAGGAAAGAAGCAACUGGAACACACAUAUAACACUAACCCUUCCAGCUGCAUUAUGAGGGACCAGUACCUGUCUCAAGGCAAAAUUAUGACUUAGUUCAUCCUCACCUCUGGAGGCCAGUAAAAGUGGGUUAUAGAAGAACAAAGAGGCAUCUAGAUCUUUCACUGGGUUAUUUGGAGAGAAACAUCUCCUACCGAAGGCCAGUUUAACAAGACUGGUAGAGGAGGUUAUCUUAUCUAAUUCACAGAAAUCAACACAUUGAGUCAAGAAAAAUGAAACACAGAAACACUCUAAAUAAAAGAAGAUAAGUCUUCAGAAACCAACCCUAAUGAAAUGAAGAUAUGUGAUUAACCUGACAGGAAAUUAAAAAGAGCAACCAUAAAGAGUCUCAUGGGAGCAAUGCAUGAACAAACUGAGAAUUUUCAUAAAGAAAUAAAAGAUAACAAAAAGUAUAAAGUUGAAGAAUACAAUAACUGGACUCAAAAAUUUAAUGUGUCCAACAGAAGAAUCGAUGAAGCAGAAGAAAGGGCUAUCAAACUUGUAGAUAGGCCAUUGGAAAUCAUGUAAUGUGAGGAGAAAAAAGAAAAAAGAUUGAAGAUAGUUUAAGAGACUUUUGAGACAUCCUCAAAGGGGAAUAAUUUAUACAUUACCAGAUGGAGAAGAUAGAGGGAAAAGGACAGAAAACAUAUUUGAAGAAAUAAUGUCAGAAAACCUCAUAAUUCUGGCAAGGAAAUAGAAAUUUAGAUCUAAGAAUCUCGAACAUCAGGUAUGAUGAAUCCAAGGAGACUCACACCAAACCAUAUUGUAAUUAAAUAAAGGUUAAAGACAAUCUUCAGAGCAGCAAGGGAAUAGUCUCUUCUUACAUACAAAAUGAUCCACGGAAGACUGUCAGCAGACUUCACCAGAAAACUUUCACGCCAGAAGGCAGUCGUGAUAUAUACAAAAAGCUGAAAGGAAAACACUGCCAUCCAGGAAUACUAUCUCCAACUAUCCUGUGUUUCAAAAAUUAAGGAGAAAUAUAAAGUUCUCAAACAAAAGAUGUGGGAGUUUACCACCACUAGACCUGCACGGGAAGAAUUGCUAAAGGGAGUCCUUCAAGCUGUAGUAAAAGAGUGCUAAUUAGAAACAUGAAAAC